AGAGCUGUGAUAUAUGAUACAUCACAAGCAAAACAGAACAAUAGUAGACUCUGUCUGUUUGGUUUGGGUUUAUAAUCCCAAUAUAACUCAUACCUGCUGUCACAUGUUGUAGACAAUGACUCUAAAGUGUUGGCUACGUUCUCAUUUGUUUGCUGGACAGGAAUUCUGAUGCCAUCUGAGUGGUGGGUUUUGUUCCACAGACUUGAUAUUUCCCAUCACUGACCUCACAAACUGUAACCACCUUCUAAUAACAAACAGAGGACUGAAGUUUUGGUCCAGAAAUUAAAAUUAAAAUCUGGUUAUUCGCUCAAAGGUUGCAAAGACGUCCAGAGGUCAAGAGGAGGACUGGGGCAGUGCUCUGGCCCUGCGAAUCCCGAAUCCUGAAGGACAUCCAUCAAUCUGGAGAAAGUCUACACUGCUCAAACGUCAUUCUUACUCUCCAAUCUGUGGACACACGCAUACACACACACACACACAUGCACUGUGAAAGUGAGAAACUCCACGACGUAUUUCCUUUCCUUAGGCAAAACAAACCUAUCUACAAAAUAAUACAAAAAGCCUUAUCAGAGGAAUCCAGAAAACUUCCACCUUUCUUUACUUUCAUUUUCUCUGUGUACCCACAUGAGUCUGUUUCCCUUCCUGACUCUUUCUCUCACACACAGUGUUGCUGAGAGUUGGGCUAUAUUACAUCACUCUGUCCUCUGUGUGUCCUGCUCUAUGAUGCAGCAGAUGGGUGGAAGGGAAGAGUUUGUUUAAAAUGGUGUGGAAAUGAAGUGUGUUUUUGGAACCUGGAGAUCACCUGCUGUUGUGAACGUUCAUAAGUGAAACAAAAUAUUUUGUGGUCCUAUUCAAAUAAAAACCAAGAUCCUGUCA